GAAUCCAUGGUCUAGUGGUUCAGGACGUUUCGUUUACACCGAAAAGGUCGCGAGUUCAAUCCUCGCUGGAUUCA